GAGUAAAUCAAGGGGGAUAAAGGGAGAGAUAUUAGGAGAAAAUCAAGGGAAGUGAGGGUUGAGGAGAUGUGUGCCGAAAGUGGAUGUUGGCAUUCAGGAAAUUCGGCCAGAAUGGAGACUGCUCAUUAUGGUAUACUUUUCUUUUUAGUUCUGUGUAGUUUUCUCUCUUUUUGCUUUUAGGUGCUGAAUUUUUGCUAAGAUUUGGGGUACCUCUCGGGUUUUUCUUUUGGCUGCUCUUCCCUUUUAC
rnacentral:lncRNA from 1 species